rnacentral:rRNA from 1 species
AUUGAACGCUGGCGGCAUGCCUUACACAUGCAAGUCGAACGGCAGCACGGACUUCGGUCUGGUGGCGAGUGGCGAACGGGUGAGUAAAGUAUCGGAACGUACCAUUGAGUGGGGGAUCACGUAGCGAAAGUUACGCUAAUACCGCAUAUACCCCGGGGGGGAAAGCAGGGGAUCUUAGGACCUUGUGCUCUUUGAGCGGCCGAUAUCAGAUUAGCUAGUUGGUGAGGUAAAGGCUCACCAAGGCGACGAUCUGUAGCGGGUCUGAGAGGAUGAUCCGCCACACUGGGACUGAGACACGGCCCAGACUCCUACGGGAGGCAGCAGUGGGGAAUUUUGGACAAUGGGGGCAACCCUGAUCCAGCCAUGCCGCGUGAGUGAAGAAGGCCUUCGGGUUGUAAAGCUUUUUCAGCCGGGAAGAAAUCGCACAGGCUAAUAUCCUGUGUGGAUGACGGUACCGGAAUAAGAAGCACCGGCUAACUACGUGCCAGCAGCCGCCGUAA